GCCGGGGUGGUGGAAUUGGUAGACACGCUGGUCUUAGGAACCAGUGCUUAACAGCGUAAGAGUUCGAGUCUCUUCCUCGGCACAA
rnacentral:tRNA from 1 species